rnacentral:rRNA from 1 species
GACGAACGCUGGCGGCGUGCUUAACACAUGCAAGUCGAGCGGUAAGGGCCCUUUCGGGGGUACACGAGCGGCGAACGGGUGAGUAACACGUGGGUGACCUGCCCUCAGCUCUGGGAUAAGCCUGGGAAACCGGGUCUAAUACUGGAUAUGACUCCAUGACGCAUGUUGUGGGGUGGAAAGCCUUGUGCGGCUGAGGAUGGGCCCGCGGCCUAUCAGCUUGUUGGUGGGGGAUGGCCUACCAAGGCGACGACGGGUAGCCGGCCUGAGAGGGCGACCGGCCACACUGGGACUGAGACACGGCCCAGACUCCUACGGGAGGCAGCAGUGGGGAAUCUUGCGCAAUGGGCGAAAGCCUGACGCAGCGACGCCGCGUGAGGGAUGACGGCCU